AAAGGAGCAAUCCCGCUUUGAGAUGGCCUCGCGUCCGAUUAGCUAGUUGGUGAGGUAAUGGCCCACCAAGGCGACGAUCGGUAGCCGGACUGAGAGGUUGAACGGCCACAUUGGGACUGAGACACGGCCCAGACUCCUACGGGAGGCAGCAGUGGGGAAUAUUGCACAAUGGGGGAAACCCUGAUGCAGCGACGCCGCGUGGAGGAAGAAGGUCUUCGGAUUGUAAACUCCUGUUGUUGGGGAAGAUAAUGACGGUACCCAACAAGGAAGUGACGGCUAACUACGUGCCAGCAGCCGCGGUAAAACGUAGGUCACAAGCGUUGUCCGGAAUUACUGGGUGUAAAGGGAGCGCAGGCGGGAAGACAAGUUGGAAGUGAAAUCCAUGGGCUCAACCCAUGAACUGCUAUCAAAACUGUUUUUCUUGAGUAGUGCAGAGGUAGGCGGAAUUCCCGGUGUAGCGGUGGAAUGCGUAGAUAUCGGGAGGAACACCAGUGGCGAAGGCGGCCUACUGGGCACCAACUGACGCUGAGGCUCGAAAGUGUGGGUAGCAAACAGGAUUAGAUACCCUGGUAGUCCACACCGUAAACAAUGAUUACUAGGUGUUGGAGGAUUGACCCCUUCAGUGCCGCAGUUAACACAAUAAGUAAUCCACCUGGGGAGUACGACCGCAAGGUUGAAACUCAAAGGAAUUGACGGGGGCCCGCACAAGCAGUGGAGUAUGUGGUUUAAUUCGACGCAACGCGAAGAACCUUACCAAGUCUUGACAUCCUGUGACAGACGUAGAAAUACGUUCUUCCUUCGGGACACAGAGACAGGUGGUGCAUGGUUGUCGUCAGCUCGUGUCGUGAGAUGUUGGGUUAAGUCCCGCAACGAGCGCAACCCUUAUGGUCAGUUACUACGCAAGAGGACUCUGGCCAGACUGCCGUUGACAAAACGGAGGAAGGUGGGGAUGACGUCAAAUCAUCAUGCCCUUUAUGACUUGGGCUACACACGUACUACAAUGGCGUUAAACAAAGAGAAGCAAGACCGCGAGGUGGAGCAAAACUCAGAAACAACGUCCCAGUUCGGACUGCAGGCUGCAACUCGCCUGCACGAAGUCGGAAUUGCUAGUAAUCGUGGAUCAGCAUGCCACGGUGAAUACGUUCCCGGGCCUUGCACUCACCGCCCGUCA
rnacentral:rRNA from 1 species